rnacentral:lncRNA from 1 species
CCAUCCCUUCAACCCCUCACACUAGAUAAGAGAAAAAAGGGUAGAAGGGAAAAGAAGGAGCUCCCUGAAUAAAGCCAUGGUACGGAGAGGGGGUGAUGUUUAUCAUUAAACUACUUCCUGCUGAUCAGGGGCGUGAGUUCCUUGGGUCAACUUUGAUCUUUGCUGGCAGGAUAGCUCAUUUCUUCUUUGCACACAACAACCAACAUCACCCCUGCCCCCCUUGCAGCCCUAGCUUAUAUAUAUACUCUCUGAAAAGUCUCCAGAAUUCCAAAUGUCCCACAGUCGGAGAGACUAUCUGCAGCUGGCAAAACCACCACAAAGAGCACAAGGCAAGUCCUAGGGCACAAACUGCAGACAGCUGCAGGGACAGUCUGAAGCAGCACCGUGUCCCAUACCUGAGAUUAAAAGGAAAAUAUAUUCUUAAAAUAUUUCUGUGAUAUUUUAAAGAAACAAAACUCCAAAAUUAUAACUAUAAAACUUCACAUUUUUUCUUAAAAAAAAAAAAAAA